GCCCCGCCCGGUGCUGGCGCAGCUGCACGCCGGCCUCGGCUUAAGGAGAGUCCCCACCAGGCUUCCCAAGAGGCGGCCGACCCCAUCGUCUCUGCCUGGGCCUUUCGCAUUACCGUUGAUUCAGCAAGGAGAACUCCCGGUGUCGCCGCGGGGUUCCCCGAGGCAAUCGUCUACCCGGCACCCCAAGCCUCCCGGGACUACUCGCGGAGGACCAGCACCCACCUCUGCAAGAAGUCACAGAGGGGAAUGAACCAAGCUUGAAGGCACUGGGCAGAAGCCAGUGCCUAUGGACAGUUAGCGCAUGUUCGACCAACUGGCCAAUGGGGGCCCCCCAAAGAUAAUCAUCGCUUGCCGUAUGUCACACGAGCAAGCUAACCUAAACUCAAUGUGUGAAAUGAGAAGAAAGAGAAGGAUGAGCAGACACGAGCAGGAAGAAUUUUGAAAAGUGAUCGAAUUUGGCUUCUGAUCAAUACAGAUCAGUUGGGGGAAGACGUGUGGCAGAAACCCAAAGCAAAUUUGGGAAAAUCAGGAGCACAGGUAGGUUGUGACAUAAUAAAUUGCCUUGGAUGUAAGACAGUAGCUUCAUAAAAGAAAGCAAAAGGCAGCAAAGAUAAUCGCCUACGAGAAAGUUACCACCGCAGAGGCAUGCUUGGGGAGACCCGGGGAGAAAGAAGGGCCACAGACACCAUCAGCAGCAAAGCGGUAAGGUUGUAUCGGCUGGCAGCUCCCCCUUCGCGAACUUUAUAAAAGCACUGACAAGUGCUUUCUGAUUCCUGAUUCGAUUCUAUGAUUUCAAUACGUCACCCAUCUGAUCAUUACUGAGGACUGUUCCAUGUGACCUUCCUUCACAGACUAUAAGGGGCUAGUAAGGAGGUAAGACCGUACUUUACGGUGCCAGGAAGUGCCCAGAAGGGAGAGAGAGCUCACCUCCACCUGAAGGAGUAGGUCUUUAUUUCUUAACAAAAAUUAAUUCGCUAAUACCCAAAUAUCUACAUUUUGAGAAAAAUUUAGUUGCGGCCAUUUCUUGAUUUGCAGAUUUGGGGAGCAAAUCCAGGGAAGAGGAAGCAUACUUUCAUUAUUUUUUUAAACGUGUAUGACACAUUUCAAACAAACGCAAGAGCAGAGAAAUUAAACGAUGAACCCACAAUUGUCAGUUUUUUCCCAACUUUUCUCAGCAACUUUUCGGAGCGUUUUAAAGCAAACCUCACAUAUGCUGUUUCGUGCAAAAACUAUUUGACUAUGUACCCAUAACAAACAAGGGCUUCAAAAUAACUGCACUAUCGUUAUCCCUACUAACAAAACGAACAACAAUUCCUUCACUGAAUUCUCAGUCCAUGUGAAAAUCUCCCCGCCUGUCUCCUAACGAUCUUUUUAUACUGGUUUGCCGGUAUCAGGAUCCAAACAAGGUGUUCGCGCUGCGUUUACUGAACGUGAAUUUAGAUUCAACCCAGUCUAUCCAUUUGGGUGACGUCUACCAGAGAUCAUGCGUUCAACACACGGGCUCAUGGACCUGGCUGUCGUCCCAGCACUUAGAAGGGCCACAGACCUGGACCCAGCACUGGCCCACUCUUAAGGCAGUGGAGGGGCCAGCAUCUGGCACAGAGGAAGAAAGAAGUACAGAGGCCAGAAAGGCAGAGAUGCGGUACCUGGUCUAUCACGGACUCACCACCCCCCGGGCCGGGUCUCCCAAACCAGGUGAUGGGAGUGGCAGCCACUUUUCUAAGCACUGUACUGCUCAUCUGCCUAGGUGAGGGAAGUCGGCGAGAGAGGCCUCUGUUGCACGGAAACCCGGGACCCCCAUGGAGGUAGGACAGCUGUCACAGGAAAAGAGGACACGGCUCCUAAACGGGGCAGCACGUCCAGUUUACUCACCGGAAUAGCUGGCCCACGCAAUUUCUGGCUGUCCCCAACCUAUUACAGGGUCUGCAGGAACAAAAGUGGUAACUCCACUACAGUACUACCUGAUUUGUAUAGCAGGGCAUUUCCAAAUCUGGUGACAGGAACCUGACUUGAACCACCAUGGCAGAGAAUCAAGGACCCUUACACGGCUCCCAGAUUGGGUGGUUUCCAAACUCGGGGCCUCUUUAUGAAGCAGAAGCCAGGUAACUUGGGGGUCAGUAUCCCACAGUUAACAACUCUUCCUUCCAGCCUUCCCAAAAGGGAUCUUCCAACAUUCACCCUCCACCCAGGAAGGGAAACCCCCAGUAGUAAAAUCAAGGCGAGAACUCUUCCUAAUCCUUUCUGAGUGGGAGGAGAAAGGGCCUCAGCAGGGACUUAGCUUGUGUGGAUACAUGGUUAGGACAAUGGCUUGGCUGAAUAGCUUGGAGGAAUUUGGGAAGAACAGAGUAGGUAAUGGACUGGUUUCGGGAAGGAGUAUAAUUAAAUAUGUCAGAAUGCAUGAGAAAUCGUCUGUCCCAUAUGAAUGUCCAGUCGCAUCCCAUGUGAAUCCUACUGCAAAAGAGGCUGUUUAAUAAUUGUGUGAACAUUAUGUCCCAUUCUAUAAACGCCAAUCUCUGUUUCUAGUCAUCUUGAUGCUUACUCAGUGGGUUCGGGGUAAAAAAAAAAAAAAGAAAAAAAAAAAAGGCCAUGGUGGCAGAAAUGGAUGCCAAGCCUGGGCUAAACCACAGGGUGUCCCUCUCAACAAAGUUAAUGACAUGGUUCCUUGAAGGAACCAGACAGCUCCUUGUGGAAAGCUGAUUACAAUGGACCCUUUCAUAAUAGAGGGGUGGAUGAUCUGUCCUUAGUGGCAAAGAGAUUUAUUCUAGAUUUGGAUUUGUUUUCCUUACCUGUCAGACCUCUGCUAGAAUCGCACUGAAGGCCUCACACAACGUCGUGGCACCUCACAUGACCAUGCCUCUACCCGAGGGCCCCAGUGAGGGAAGCACGGUGAUAGGCCAGUGUCCACGAGUGUCGCGAGCUUUAUUCUUGUUUACCAUUGUCCACAAGCAUGGAAUCACGGCCUAAUGAAAAUGAUGUUAUGGAGACAGCUUGGGGACACAUCUUGAAAUUGCGAUGCUGCCUUGGAUAGGGUCUGUAUAGCACUGAAUCGGUGACUGGUACGGUGCUGUGCACCCAUGGCCAGAGUACAUGGGUCCAGAAACAAAGGGCAAGCACAGGGACUGCUUCUCAUGAUUACUGAAUAACACAUUUGCAAAAUAUUUUCUUCCUGUUCAACAGCUUCGCCUGUCAAAACUGAAUUUAUUCCCCCAAGAGAGAAGUCCUUCCACCAGAACUCGCAGGCCUGGCCCCACUGGAUCUGAACCAAGGCCGGCCAUUUUUGCCGCCCUGUGCACUGGGGAAAAUGAGCACCCAAGACAGACAUGGACGUCUUUUGUGGUCACUGCCACCGCUGUUUCCCAACUGGACUUAUGCAACAGUGUCCAAACCAGUCUCCCCUCCUCUGCCUUUUCUCCCCCACACUGUCCUUCCUCUCUAAAGCUUAAAUCAGUGCCUUUCACUCCCCGGCUGGCAAUGGCUUCCGGUUUCACUUCGAAUAAUGCCAAGUCCUACCCAAGACCUGCAGUGCCCUUUCUGUCCGGCCGCAGCCUCCCCACCAGACUGCAACGCCCUCUUCUGCCCUUGUGUCUUGAACUCCGGUCACGCUGGCCCUCUCGCGGAACCUCAGACACAUCAAGUUCCAGUCUAACGUUGGGCCCCUGAUGUUCCUUCCACUGGGACUUCUCCUCCCUCAGAUCUUUGGCUCUCACUCACCUUUAAAGCCUCCACUCCAGUGUCACCUCCUCAGGGACACUAGGUCACCCUCUGCUGUGCCCGUUGCCACACUCUCUACCGUAUCACCCACGUUCUUCUCUCGGGAGCCAUCAUUACGGCCUGAGAUCAUGCUCUUUACUGACUUACUGGAUUGGUUUCAAUACUGGAAUGUGAAGUUUGUGAUGCUUUAUCCUCUGCUGUAUUUCCAAAUGGUAAAACCAGUGCCUGGAAGGCUCA